GCGGCGGCGGCAGCGUGCUGCACGAUUCGGUCAUCUUCCUCGACGUGCUUGUGCACUUGCGUAGCCUCCCUUUGUUAUCCGGACCAUGCCCUCGUUACUGGCCCUUAUCCUGUUGAGCGUCAUUGUCCCUCGUCGCCGCCUCGUCACCUCCGCUCUUCAUGGGCCUGGUUGGGGAGAUGGGAACGAACCGGUCCUCCACAGACCCUACUGACGCCGCCGACUGCAACCUGCAUCCCCUCCUCGACAAUCGUCACUCUAGCGGCCUCCCGCGGCGUGUAACGAGGCAAGGCGACGCCUCCUCGUGGACACCUCCGGCUUCAAGGCACUCCAUCAAAGCUAACAACUGACAUUUGACAAAGCUUACAGUUCGGAUAAAUGGUGAUGGGCUUUCGGGAGCAUGAUAUUUGAUGAAGUGACGUUCAGUGAUACAACUUUGGUGUUUCUCUAUGGCUUGAUUUUACUAAAAACGCAGGUGCAUUUUGAAGUAUGAAAGUUUGCUAUCCACAGUUCCACAUACCUGUUUGUUCCAGCAAUUCUUUUACCCUUACUAUUUUCUGAUGAUCUUGCUAUGUCAGAAGUUGGUAUAAGGAAACUAAGACAUGCACUCAAAGUACUGUCAGAAACUGAAAAGCAAUUGAGGACAUCAAGAAAUAAU